rnacentral:rRNA from 1 species
CCUGGCUCAGGAUGAACGCUGGCGGCGUGCCUAAUACAUGCAAGUCGAACGCUUCACUUCGGUGAAGAGUGGCGAACGGGUGAGUAAUACAUAAGUAACCUGGCAUCUACAGGGGGAUAACUGAUGGAAACGUCAGCUAAGACCGCAUAGGUGUAGAGAUCGCAUGAACUCUAUAUGAAAAGUGCUACGGGACUGGUAGAUGAUGGACUUAUGGCGCAUUAGCUUGUUGGUAGGGUAACGGCCUACCAAGGCGACGAUGCGUAGCCGACCUGAGAGGGUGACCGGCCACACUGGGACUGAGACACGGCCCAGACUCCUACGGGAGGCAGCAGUAGGGAAUUUUCGGCAAUGGGGGAAACCCUGACCGAGCAACGCCGCGUGAAGGAAGAAGUAAUUCGUUAUGUAAACUUCUGUCAUAGAGGAAGAACGGUGGAUAUAGGGAAUGAUAUCCAAGUGACGGUACUCUAUAAGAAAGCCACGGCUAACUACGUGCCAGCAGCCGCGGUAAUACGUAGGUGGCGAGCGUUAUCCGGAAUUAUUGGGCGUAAAGAGGGAGCAGGCGGCACUAAGGGUCUGUGGUGAAAGAUCGAAGCUUAACUUCGGUAAGCCAUGGAAACCGUAGAGCUAGAGUGUGUGAGAGGAUCGUGGAAUUCCAUGUGUAGCGGUGAAAUGCGUAGAUAUAUGGAGGAACACCAGUGGCGAAGGUGACGAUCUGGCGCAUAACUGACGCUCAGUCCCGAAAGCGUGGGGAGCAAAUAGGAUUAGAUACCCUAGUAGUCCACGCCGUAAACGAUGAGUACUAAGUGUGGGGGGUCAAACCUCAGUGCUGCAGUUAACGCAAUAAGUACUCCGCCUGAGUAGUACGUUCGCAAGAAUGAAACUCAAAGGAAUUGACGGGGGCCCGCACAAGCGGUGGAGCAUGUGGUUUAAUUCGAAGCAACGCGAAGAACCUUUCCAGGUCCUGACAUCGAUCUAAAGGCUCCAGAGAUGGAGAGAUAGCUAUAGAGAAGACAGGUGGUGCAUGGUUGUCGUCAGCUCGUGUCGUGAGAUGUUGGGUUAAGUCCCGCAACGAGCGCAACCCCUGUUGCCAGUUGCCAGCAUUAAGUUGGGGACUCUGGCGAGACUGCCGGUGACAAGCCGGAGGAAGGCGGGGAUGACGUCAAAUCAUCAUGCCCCUUAUGACCUGGGCUACACACGUGCUACAAUGGACAGAGCAGAGGGAAGCGAAGCCGCGAGGUGGAGCGAAACCCAUAAAACGUUCUCAGUUCGGACUGCAGUCUGCAACUCGACUGCACGAAGAUGGAAUCGCUAGUAAUCGCGAAUCAGCAUGUCGCGGUGAAUACGUUCUCGGGCCUUGUACACACCGCCC